rnacentral:rRNA from 1 species
UACGUAGGUCCCGAGCGUUGUCCGGAUUUAUUGGGCGUAAAGCGAGCGCAGGUGGUUUAUUAAGUCUGGUGUAAAAGGCAGUGGCUCAACCAUUGUAUGCAUUGGAAACUGGCAGACUUGAGUGCAGGAGAGGAGAGUGGAGUUCCAUGUGUAGCGGUGAAAUGCGUAGAUAUAUGGAGGAACACCGGUGGCGAAAGCGGCUCUCUGGCCUGUAACUGACACUGAGGCUCGAAAGCGUGGGGAGCAAACAGG